GAGUUUGAUCCUGGCUCAGGACGAACGCUGGCGGCGCGCCUAACACAUGCAAGUCGAACGGAGCUGAGAGGAGCUUGCUUUUCUUAGCUUAGUGGCGAACGGGUGAGUAACGCGUGAGUAACCUGCCCUGGAGUGGGGGACAACAGUUGGAAACGGCUGCUAAUACCGCAUAAGCCCACGAUCCGGCAUCGGAUUGAGGGAAAAGGAUUUAUUCGCUUCAGGAUGGACUCGCGUCCAAUUAGCUAGUUGGUGAGGUAACGGCCCACCAAGGCGACGAUUGGUAGCCGGACUGAGAGGUUGAACGGCCACAUUGGGACUGAGACACGGCCCAGACUCCUACGGGAGGCAGCAGUGGGGGAUAUUGCACAAUGGGGGAAACCCUGAUGCAGCGACGCCGCGUGGAGGAAGAAGGUUUUCGGAUUGUAAACUCCUGUCGUUAGGGACGAUAAUGACGGUACCUAACAAGAAAGCACCGGCUAACUACGUGCCAGCCGCCGCGGUAAUAC
rnacentral:rRNA from 1 species